rnacentral:tRNA from 1 species
GCCCCGGUAGCUCAGCCUGGUCGGCUUGUAAGCGGGAGGUCCCGGGUUCAAAUCCCGGCCGGGGCUCCA